rnacentral:rRNA from 1 species
AACGAACGCUGGCGGCGCGCCUAAUACAUGCAAGUCGAGCGAGAAGACGUAGCAAUACGUUUGUAAAGCGGCGAACGGGUGAGGAAUACAUGGGUAACCUACCCUCGAGUGGGGAAUAACUAGCCGAAAGGUUAGCUAAUACCGCGUACGCUCCUUGGACUUCGGUUCAGGGAGGAAAGCGAUACCGUGGGUAUCGCGCUCUUGGAUGGGCUCAUGUCCUAUCAGCUUGUUGGUGAGGAACGGCUCACCAAGGCUUCGACGGGUAGCUGGUCUGAGAGGACAAUCAGCCACACUGGCACUGCGACACGGGCCAGACUCCUACGGGAGGCAGCAGUAAGGAUAUUGCGCAAUGGGCGAAAGCCGACGCAGCGACGCCGCGUGGGGGAUGAAGGUCUUCGGAGUU